GGGUGUGUUUUGGAUUCGACAGGGAAACGUGAGGGCGAGUGAAGCAUGUCGAAGGGUUGCGACUUCGUAAAAACGCGAAAAAGCAAUAAAUGCUGAAAACAAAAAUUCAAGCGUAAAUUACAACAAUUACGCUUUCGCUGCCUAAGGCGGCGAUGUCGGUCUCGUUUCUCCGUAGGGCGAGUGCUCGGCAUUAACUAUACGGACAACGUUGCGUUAUGUAAAGUCAAAAGGAUUGAACACGAACUAAGCAUGUAGAAGAAGCGUCGGCAGUUUUUUUGAACACGGGUUCGAUUCCCGUCACAUCCACCA
rnacentral:tmRNA from 1 species